AGUGAACGCUGGCGGUAGGCCUAACACAUGCAAGUCGAACGGCAGCACAGUAAGAGCUUGCUCUUACGGGUGGCGAGUGGCGGACGGGUGAGGAAUACAUCGGAAUCUACUUUUUCGUGGGGGAUAACGUAGGGAAACUUACGCUAAUACCGCAUACGACCUACGGGUGAAAGCAGGGGAUCUUCGGACCUUGCGCGAUUGAAUGGGCCGAUGUCGGAUUAGCUAGUUGGCGGGGUAAAGGCCCACCAAGGCGACGAUCCGUAGCUGGUCUGAGAGGAUGAUCAGCCACACUGGAACUGAGACACGGUCCAGACUCCUACGGGAGGCAGCAGUGGGGAAUAUUGGACAAUGGGCGCAAGCCUGAUCCAGCCAUACCACGUGGGUGAAGAAGGCCUUCGGGUUGUAAAGCCCUUUUGUUGGGAAAGAAAAGCAGCAGGUUAAUACCCCGCUGUUCUGACGGUACCCAAAGAAUAAGCACCGGCUAACUUCGUG
rnacentral:rRNA from 1 species